ACCUGACUGGCUCAGUCAGUAGAGGAUGUGACUCUUGAUCUCAGGGUUGUGGGUUUGAGCCCCACGUUGGGUG
rnacentral:tRNA from 1 species